rnacentral:rRNA from 1 species
AGAAGUAGAUAGCUUAACCUUCGGGAGGGCGUUUACCACGGUGUGAUUCAUGACUGGGGUGAAGUCGUAACAAGGUAACCCUAGGGGAACCUGGGGUUGGAUCACCUCCUUACCUUAAUGA